rnacentral:rRNA from 1 species
GGAUGUGAUGGGGAGCGAAAUUUAGUAGCGAAGUAGCUGAUUUCACACUGUCAAGAAAAGUCUCUAUCGAGGUUAAAGGUACCCGUACCGCAAACCGACACAGGUGGGUGAGGAGAGUAUCCUAAGGCCAGCGAGAGAACUGUUGUUAAGGAACUCGGCAAAAUGACCCCGUAACUUAGGGAUAAGGGGUGCCACCAUCAGGUGGCCGCAGAGAAUAGGCCCAAGCGACUGUUUACCAAAAACAUAGGUUUCUGCUAAGUCGCAAGACGAUGUAUAGGAGCUGACGCCUGCCCGGUGCUGGAAGGUUAAGGGGAUCUGUUAGAGCAAUCGAAGCAGUGAACUUAAGCCCCAGUAAACGGCGGCCGUAACUAUAACGGUCCUAAGGUAGCGAAAUUCCUUGUCGGGUAAGUUCCGACCCGCACGAAAGGCGUAACGAUUUGGGCACUGUCUCAACAACAGACUCGGUGAAAUUGUAAUUCCGGUGAAGAUGCCGGAUACCUGCGAC